UACAGAGGGGGCAAGCGUUGUUCGGAAUUACUGGGCGUAAAGGGUUCGUAGGUGGCCACUUAAGUCAGACGUGAAAUCCCUCAGCUUAACUGGGGAACUGCGUCUGAUACUGGGUGGCUUGAGUGCAGGAGAGGGAUGCGGAAUUCCAGGUGUAGCGGUGAAAUGCGUAGAUAUCUGCAGGAACACCCGUGGCGAAAGCGGCGCGCUGGACCACUACUGACGCUGAGGAACGAAAGCUAGGGGAGCAAACAGG
rnacentral:rRNA from 1 species